rnacentral:rRNA from 1 species
AAGUUGGCAUGAGAGCGUACCUGAGUACCGCGGAGCAGGUGGAAUUCUGCGGGAACCAGCCGGAACCAUCCGGUAAGACUAAAUACUCCUGUGUGACCGAUAGUGAACCAGUACCGUGAGGGAAAGGUGAAAAGAACCCUUAAGAAGGGAGUGAAAAGAAUCUGAAACCAAUUGCUUACAAACGGUCGGAGCGGAUUUAUUCCGUGACGGCGUGCCUUUUGCUUAAUGAGCCAACGAGUUGCUCGUCACGUGCAAGGGUAAGAUUCUUAAGAAUCGCACCCGUAGCGAAAGCAAGUCUGAAAAGGGCGGCUAGUGCGUGGCGGCAGACGCGAAACCGUGUGAUCUAUCCAUGGUCAGGAUGAAGUAUCGGUAACACGAUAUGGAGGUCCGAACUGGUGCGGGUUGAAAACUGCUCGGAUGAACUGUGGAUGGGGGUGAAAG